UCCCUCUCAGGGUCUCACCAGGGGAGUUUCCAAUACUCUACCAGUCUCAUCUACGAGAGGGAGAGUCAAGCAGAGGCCUACCCAUUCCAUUCCUAGCUUGGCCAGUGGCUAGCGAGUGGAAGACAAUCUCUGCUACAAGU